rnacentral:rRNA from 1 species
UCUGGGAAACCAGAGCUAAUACCGCAUGUCGUGCACAUGGGGCAUCCCAGGUGCAUGAAAGGAGCAAUCCGGCAGAAGAUGGGCUCGCGUCCGAUUAGGUAGUUGGAGAGGUAAUGGCUCCCCAAGCCGACGAUCGGUAGCCGGACUGAGAGGUCGAUCGGCCACAUUGGGACUGAGACACGGCCCAGACUCCUACGGGAGGCAGCAGUGGGGAAUAUUGGGCAAUGGGCGGAAGCCUGACCCAGCGACGCCGCGUGAAGGAGGAAGGCUUUCGAGUUGUAAACUUCUUUGGGGAGGGACGAAGAUGACGGUACCUCCAGAACAAGCCACGGCUAACUACGUGCCAGCAGCCGCGGUAAUACGUAGGUGGCGAGCGUUAUCCGGAUUUACUGGGUGUAAAGGGCGCGCAGGCGGCCCUGGAAGUCAGAUGUGAAAGAUCAAGGCUUAACUUUGACAGGUCAUCUGAAACUUUGGGGCUUGAGUAUCAGAGGGGAAAGUGGAAUUCCUAGUGGAGCGGUAAAAUGCACAGAGAUCAGGAGGAACACCGGUGGCGAAGGCGACUUUCUGGCUGACAACUGACGCUGAGGCGCGAAAGCGUGGGGAGCAAACAGGAUUAGAUACCCUGGUAGUCCACGCCGUAAACGAUGAUUACUGGGUGUAGGGAGUAUCGACUCUCUCUGUGCCGAAGCAAACGCGAUAAGUAAUCCACCUGGGGAGUACGGCCGCAAGGCUAAAACUCAAAGGAAUUGACGGGGACCCGCACAAGCAGUGGAGUAUGUGGUUUAAUUCGAG